rnacentral:rRNA from 1 species
CGGACGUAGGUAACCUGCCUGGUAGCGGGGGAGUAACUAUUGGAAACGAUAGCUAAUACCGCAUAACAGUAGAUGUUGCAUGACAUUUGCUUAAAAGGUGCAAUUGCAUCACUACCAGAUGGACCUGCGUUGUAUUAGCUAGUUGGUGGGGUAACGGCUCACCAAGGCGACGAUACAUAGCCGACCUGAGAGGGUGAUCGGCCACACUGGGACUGAGGCACGGCCCAG